rnacentral:rRNA from 1 species
CCUACGGGAGGCAGCAGUGAGGAAUAUUGCACAAUGGGCGAAAGCCUGAUGCAGCGACGCCGCGUGGGUGAAGAAGGUUUUCGGAUCGUAAAACCCUUUUCUGUGUGACACGGUAGCACAGGAAUAAGUCUCGGCUAACUACGUGCCAGCAGCCGCGGUAAAACGUAGGAGACAAACGUUAUCCGGAGUUACUGGGCGUAAAGGGCGUGUAGGUGGUUCUGUAAGUCUGGCGUGAAAUUUCUCGGCUUAACCGGGAAAGGUCGUCGGAUACUGCAAGGCUAGAGGAUGGUAGAGGCGUGUGGAAUUCCGGGUGUAGUGGUGAAAUGCGUAGAGAUCCGGAGGAACACCAGUGGCGAAGGCGACACGCUGGCCUACCUGACACUGAUGCGCGACAGCAUGGGGAGCAAACAGGAUUAGAUACCCUUGUAGUC